rnacentral:rRNA from 1 species
GGUGAAUACGUUCCCGGGUCUUGUACACACCGCCCGUCACACCAUGGGAGCCUGGAAUGCCCGAAGCCGGUGACCGAACCGAGAGGGCGGAACCGCCUAAGGCAGGCCCGGUGACUGGGGUGAAGUCGUAACAAGG